GACGUAGGGCGCGAGCGUUGUCCGGAUUUAUUGGGCGUAAAGAGCUCGUAGGCGGCUUGUCGCGUCGACUGUGAAAACCCGUGGCUCAACCAUGUGGUCUGCAGUCGAUACGGGCAGGCUAGAGUUCGGCAGGGGAGACUGGAAUUCCUGGUGUAGCGGUGAAAUGCGCAGAUAUCAGGAGGAACACCCGUGGCGAAGGCGGCUCUCUGGGACGGUACUGACGCUAAGGCGCGAAAGCGUGGGGAGCGAACAGG
rnacentral:rRNA from 1 species